rnacentral:lncRNA from 1 species
GUUCAGAGACAAAGCUAGGCUGUCUCCAUCUACUUCCGAGGUCUGUUCCCCCGAGUUGACACUCUCGAGGGUGACUCCCUAGAUCCUGCCUUUGUUUUUACCUCCUUUCCUUAUACCUAGAAGACACCCUUUUGGAGAAUUUGUGACCUCGCUCAAUAUCCUUUCUGUCCACAUUUAAAAUCACUGUUCUUUUUGGGUGUGAAUCGGGGUUAUGAGGCCAGAAGGAUAGGGUUGGGACUCCCAAAGCUUUAUGAGACAUGCUUAAAAAAAUAUUUUUCAAGCACUUUGCAGCAAAGUGGGGUUAACAUUUUACGUGGACUGCAUUGUGAGCAAGAGCCAGGCAGCAAAGAACCCAGGAAAUGUUAUGGAGAUCUGGGCAAACCCAAAUUAAAAAUGCCACACCAGCCCACAUUCGCGACCUCCCCGCCCGACAGAACUCAACCCACGCACUCAACUGAGACACCUAGACCACGCCAGCCAUGCCACGAGGAAUUGAACUUGGGACUGCUCUUUUGAGGCAGGCAGCAGAACAACUGAGGUAAAUCCCUGGCCCCUGUAGGUAUCUAUUAAUUCCAUUUGUUUCAAGGUCUGAUUCAAUACUUUUUUGUUUUUUU